rnacentral:tRNA from 1 species
CUGCCCCUAGCUCAGCCGGAUAGAGCACCAGUUUGCGGAACUGGAGGUCAGAGGUUCGACUCCUCUGGGGCAGGCCA